GUAGGUGGCAAGCGUUGUCCGGAAUUAUUGGGCGUAAAGCGCGCGCAGGCGGUUCUUUAAGUCUGAUGUGAAAGCCCACGGCUCAACCGUGGAGGGUCAUUGGAAACUGGAGAACUUGAGUACAGAAGAGGAAAGCGGAAUUCCACGUGUAGCGGUGAAAUGCGUAGAGAUGUGGAGGAACACCAGUGGCGAAGGCGGCUUUCUGGUCUGUAACUGACGCUGAGGCGCGAAAGCGUGGGGAGCAAACAGGGAUUAGAUACCCUGGUAGUCCACGCCGUAAACGAUGAGUGCUAAGUGUUAGGGGGUUUCCCGCCCCUUAGUGCUGCAGCUAACGCAUUAAGCACUCCGCCUGGGGAGUACGGCCGCAAGGUUG
rnacentral:rRNA from 1 species